CGGCGGACGGGUUAGUAACGCGUGGGAACGUACCCAAAGGUAGGGAAUAGCCACUGGAAACGGUGAGUAAUACCCUAUGUGUCCUUCGGGGGAAAGAUUUAUCGCCUCUGGAUCGGCCCGCGUUAGAUUAGAUAGUUGGUGGGGUAACGGCCUACCAAGUCUACGAUCUAUAGCUGGUUUUAGAGGAUGAUCAGCAACACUGGGACUGAGACACGGCCCAGACCCCUACGGGAGGCAGCAGUGGGGAAUCUUGGACAAUGGGGGCAACCCUGAUCCAGCCAUGCCGCGUGAGUGAUGAAGGCCCUAGGGUCGUAAAGCUCUUUCGCCUAUGAAGAUAAUGACUGUAGCAGGUAAAGAAACCCCGGCUAACUCCGUGCCAGCAGCCGCGGUAAUACGGAGGGGGUUAGCGUUGUUCGGAAUUACUGGGCGUAAAGCGCGCGUAGGCGGACUGGAAAGUUGGGGGUGAAAUCCCGGGGCUCAACCCCGGAACUGCCUCCAAAACUAUCAGUCUAGAGUUCGAGAGAGGUGAGUGGAAUUCCGAGUGUAGAGGUGAAAUUCGUAGAUAUUCGGAGGAACACCAGUGGCGAAGGCGGCUCACUGGCUCGAUACUGACGCUGAGGUGCGAAAGUGUGGGGAGCAA
rnacentral:rRNA from 1 species